rnacentral:rRNA from 1 species
AGUCGACGGCAGCACGGGGGCACCCUGGUGGCGAGUGGCGAACGGGUGAGUAACAUAUCGGAACGUGCCCUGGAGUGGGGGAUAACUAGUCGAAAGAUUAGCUAAUACCGCAUACGAUCUACGGAUGAAAGUGGGGGAUCGCAAGACCUCAUGCUCGUGGAGCGGCCGAUAUCUGAUUAGCUAGUUGGUGGGGUAAAGGCCUACCAAGGCAUCGAUCAGUAGCUGGUCUGAGAGGACGACCAGCCACACUGGGACUGAGACACGGCCCAGACUCCUACGGGAGGCAGCAGUGGGGAAUUUUGGACAAUGGGCGCAAGCCUGAUCCAGCAAUGCCGCGUGAGUGAAGAAGGCCUUCGGGUUGUAAAGCUCUUUUGUCAGGGAAGAAACGGUUCGGGUUAAUACCUUGGGCUAUUGACGGUACCUGAAGAAUAAUCACCGGCUAAC